AGAGUUUGAUCAUGGCUCAGGACGAACGCUGGCGGCGUGCUUAACACAUGCAAGUCGAACGGGGUAUGCGAGGAGCUUGCUUUGAGCAUACUUAAGUGGCGGACGGGUGAGUAACGCGUGAGGAUCUGUCCUAUACAGGGGGGACAACAGAUGGAAACGUCUGCUAAUACCGCAUAAGCCUAAGGGUAAAAGGAGAGAUUCGGUAUAGGAGGAACUCGCGUCCUAUCAGCUAGUAGGUGAGGUAACGGCUCACCUAGGCGAAGACGGGUAGCCGGCCUGAGAGGGCGAACGGCCACACUGGAACUGAGAUACGGUCCAGACUCCUACGGGAGGCAGCAGUGGGGAAUAUUGGGCAAUGGGGGAAACCCUGACCCAGCGACGUCGCGUGAGUGAAGAAAUCCCUCGGGAUGUAAAGCUCUGUUGUACGGGAAGAGAAGCAGACGGUACCGUACGAGGAAGCCCCGGCAAACUACGUGCCAGCAGCCGCGGUAAUACGUAGGGGGCAAGCGUUUGUCCGGAAUUACUGGGCGUAAAGCGCACGCAGGCGGCCAUCAAGUCGGUUGUAAAAGGCAGUGGCUCAACUACUGUAAGACGGCGAUACUGACGAGCUAAGUAUUGUGAGAGGAAGCGGAAUUCCCCGGUGUACGGUGAAUGCGU
rnacentral:rRNA from 1 species